rnacentral:rRNA from 1 species
UACGGGGGAGCUAGCGUUGUUCGGAAUUACUGGGCGUAAAGCGCACGUAGGCGGCUUUGUAAGUUAGAGGUGAAAGCCCGGGGCUCAACCCCGGAAUUGCCUUUAAGACUGCAUCGCUUGAAUCCGGGAGAGGUGAGUGGAAUUCCGAGUGUAGAGGUGAAAUUCGUAGAUAUUCGGAAGAACACCAGUGGGCGAAGGCGGCGUCACUGGACCGGUAUUGACGCGUGAGGUGCGAAAGCGUGGGGAGCAA